UACGUAGGUGGCAAGCGUUGUCCGGAUUUAUUGGGUUUAAAGGGUGCGUAGGCGGUCUUCUAAGUCAGUUGUGAAAUACUUCAGCUUAACUGGAGAGGUGCAAUUGAUACUGGAAGACUUGAGUACUGAUGAGGUAGGCGGAAUGGACGGUGUAGCGGUGAAAUGCUUAGAUAUCGUCCAGAACACCGAUAGCGAAGGCAGCUUACUAAGGAGUAACUGACGCUGAGGCACGAAGGUGUGGGGAUCAAACAGG
rnacentral:rRNA from 1 species